AGGGAUGUAGCUCAGUGGUAGAGCACUUGCCUAGCAUGCAAGAGUUCCUGGGUUCCAUCCCCACUACCACCA
rnacentral:tRNA from 1 species